UACAGAGGGUGCAAGCGUUGUUCGGAAUUAUUGGGCGUAAAGCGCGUGUAGGCGGCUUUGCAAGUCGGGUGUGAAAGCCCUCAGCUCAACUGAGGAAGUGCGCCCGAAACUGCAGAGCUUGAGUACCGGAGAGGGUGGCGGAAUUCCCCAAGUAGAGGUGAAAUUCGUAGAUAUGGGGAGGAACACCGGUGGCGAAGGCGGCCAUCUGGACGGAUACUGACGCUGAGACGCGAAAGCGUGGGUAGCAAACAGG
rnacentral:rRNA from 1 species